AAAACCUAAAACAAUGAAAGCCCUGCCUCUCUCCCAUCCAUACGGUUCCUAGACCGUGCCUGCGAGAAUCAGAUAAAAGCUU
rnacentral:sRNA from 4 species